ACGCUAUUCAUGCUUGCGCGUGUAAUCCAUCUUGCCUAUAAUUUCUUAACAAUAUUCUUAAGAGCCAUUGCUCGCUAUUCAUGCACCCCUGGUCGCUGUCGACUGAAAAGAAUAAGAUGAUUAGUACAAUAUAUUCUGUCGCAAUUGUUUUUUUGUCAAACUAGUUCUCUUACAUUUGCGUAGCUCAGCCACCGCAUAAUUAGUGCACUCGCAUGAUGGGUGUGCAGGAAAACGCUCUAGUCUGAAUGUACUGAUAGUUCGUUCGUUGCUGUGAAUCGUUUUGUCUAACGGCAGAAAUGUUAAACUGAACAUCGAAAGAAAAGGAAACACAAUCAGAAAUUAGUAAAUAUUUGUUUUAUAUUUAGUUAGUUUCUUGUAUAGAAUACAUUGCUUAACUUAAACAGUUUCAUUUAAUUUAUUCGUAAUAUGCCUAAUUAUUCAAGUUAUAAAUAAAUGAAUCUUUUCUAAUCGCCAGUUGUUUUAAGUUUAUAUUGUAGUCGGAAAAUGAGCCACAACAUUGCGGAAUUUCCCAGUUUUCGGGAAUUCAAAUGAUAGAUUUAAUAAUUAUUUUACUGUGUUACAAGAGAUGUUUAUUGUGUUUUUGAAGAUGACGAUGCACAAUCUCGUUGAGCCUUAAUUGAACAACAUUCUGGGCGAUUCCAGCUAAUGACUUGGCUGUCUAUAUCGCCUGACAUGAAUCUCAUAGAAUAUUUAUAGUAUGUGAUCGGGAGAUCAGUUUACAAAAAAAUAAUGCACCCACAACACUUUUGCAAUUAUGGACAUCUAUUGAGGCUGGAUGGCUGAAUAUUCCUGCAAGAGGCUUCCAACUACUUGUAGAAUUCGUGCCCCGUCGAGUUACAGUUCUUCAUAGAGCUAGGGGAAGUCCAACAGGAUAUUAAGAGUGUUGAAAUGGUGCAAUUAGGCGCAUAAUUUGUUUAAAGUGGAAAAGUGCAUUUGUUUUGAAUCAAGACAGCACCUAGGCAGUAAAGAUCCAUAUAUGUAGAUGUUUAAAUUGAACUAUUUGAAGAAUUCACCAUAAUUGCAUUUAUAUUUUUAAUACUUAAACCCCUUUGUUCACUUUCUACUUUUGCUAUUAUAUUUCUGAGUGUAGUGCAGAAUACCUCUAAUAGUGAAGAUCUUUAUUAUCGUAUAUCAAAAGCAGGUUCUAAUCAGGGCUCAAUAUUUAUUUGUAAAGUAUGCUCCUAUAGUGCAUCCAAUGCAGCUACACUAAAGCGUCACAUUCGAAUACACACUGGUGAAAGACCUUAUUUAUGUUCGUGGUGUGGUAAUUCUUUUCGAUUAAAACAUCAUUUAAAACAGCACAUGCUUGUCCAUAGGAAAGAUCUAUAGCUCAUUUAGUUGGUUAAUGUAUGAAUUUUAGUAAAUUAGUAUUGGAAAAAAAAAAAUCGAACAAUUUACAUUGUUGCUGUGUGAAAUGUGAUUUUAAUGUUGUAAGCUGAAGAUGUUAUUCUGAAAAAUUUCAAUGUUCUAUUAUUUCUAGCUUUUUAAAAUCAUUUUCUCUAUUUUAAAUUCUUUUUUUUUUUUGAAACUGUAUGAUUAGGGUAGUUGAAUCCUGUGUGACAGGUUGCCUUAGUCAUUUAAAAUUCAUAACUGGUGAAGUUUUACUUUUUCUCUAUGGUUUUUUCCCCCAUCAAUUUUAUAAAAUUUAUUAAUAUUUGAAAAAUGAUCUAAGCUUCAAGAAAUAUUUUAACCUUUCAUUCACCCUUUUCUUACAUGUGCAGGAACAGCUUAAUUGCACAUCAAAGCAAUGAUUGUUAAUACUUAAACUCACAGUCGUUGUGUAACUUGCACAGCAUGAGUUAUUGUUAAUUAUUUGAAAUAUAGUGAUGAACUGGCAUAAAUGCUGAGCUGACCAUGGUUCUAUUUCUAAUUUUGGCUUGAAACCCUGCACUCGGCAAUGCUGACCAUAUUGUGGUUGGUCUUAAAAUUGUGGAGCUUUAUUUUAAUCAACAAAUGGCAGUUACAGGAGUGCUUUUAUUAUUUCGAAUAAUUUUAUUUUUAUUCUAUUAGUUAGUAUAGGCUUUGAGAAAAAAUUGUUUUAAGUCUGGAGUGUUAGGUAUAUACUAUUUAUGGAAUGUAUUAUGACAUUUCAACCCUCUCUAUUUAUUCAAUUGUAUGGUAAGACCUCAUAGCUUUAGGAAUUUGGUUAUAGCUAUUUCACUUUGUAAUAUUCUUCUUUUUUUAUGCAAAUAUAAUUUAAUUAAAACUCUCUGCAAAUGUAAUUUAGUUAAAACUAUUUGCCAAUGAAAUUUAUGGCAGUUUUGUAUGAUAAAUUUUGUAAUUUCAAUGAAAUGAUUCAAAGAUUUUUUUUUUUUUUGUUACAGUCAGAUACUUGUUUUCAGUUCUUGUGUGUUUUUUUCAAAUUUCUUUUAAUUCUAACUGUUAAAGUCAUUCAAAAUAUCAAAAGAUAGAUAUUAAUUAAUGAAAACAUUUUAUUUAUUUUUUAUAUGAAGAUUAAAAAGUUAUUAAUAGCAGUUAAUAUCAAGAAAUUUUAUUUCUUGUAUUUUGUUGUUUUCUAUUUUAUUAUUAUUAUCUAAUUUUGAAAGACAAGCGAAAUUUUGUGUCUUUAAAUCAUGCUUCAGCGAAUUAAGUGUGUUAAUUUGAGUUUAAAUAAAGUUUGUGAUGUGAUGAGAUGACUUUUGAGCAAGCAAUAUUUAAAUUAACCAAGUUAAGUGUAGGUAAAUAAGAUUUCCAGAUCUAUCAACACAUUUUUGUCUGAUCUACAGUUGCGUAAUAUGAAGCUUAUUGUUUGUUUUUCUCGUAAAAAACCAAGCAUGUAUUUUUAGUAAAAUCUAACAGUUAUAAAAGUGUUACUACAUUAAUAGUUUCUAUUGAUGACAAAUUUUUCAAAAUAAUUUAAAUUUAUGUGCCUAUUAAAAUCAAGAUAAUUUAACUUUUACUGUCUAUAUGUAUUUUUUAAGAAAUAUUUACAAUUUAGCAAUAGAAUUUGCAAACUAUUCAGUUUUUUUUAAAAGCAUUUUUUAUGAAUGUUACACAAAAAUCACAUCUUGUAUUAUGACUUUUUAGGGAUGUUAUAAAAAAUUUAAAUAACAAUUAGUGAUUUCAAGUUGAUAUUAAAAUAGUAAAAAAUAAAACAUUGUUGAAACUUAAUGAAUCAGGAUAAAGUUCAACUGUCAGGAUUAUUAUAAGUAUAUAUGUGAUAAGCCCUAGGUACAUUUGUAUGGAAUUUUUCCCUCAGCACACUACAUUGUUAAUUAUUAUUAUUGUUAUUUUUUUAAAAAAAAGGAAAUAUUGGUUUCUUUUUUUGCUAUUGCAAUUUAAUUCUGUUUGGUGGUAUUUUUUAGUAUUCCUCAAAAAGGAAUUACUGAUCUGAACCAUUGAUUGUUAGCCAUAGUCACAAGCUAUGAAUAAUAAUAAUUUAGAGCAAGAUUUGUACUCUCUAAACUUUUUUGUUUUUUUUUAAAUAAUGGACUUUACAUUUGUUUAAUAUUUUUUAAUCCACACUAAUAUGAUUUACACUUUAGGAAUUAAAUUUUGUAUUUCAUAUGUUAAAUUAUUGAUUUUUUGACAUGAGUUUUUUAUGCAAAAGUUUUAGUUAAUCUGCAAAAUAUAUUUGUGUAGUGUUUCUUACCUUUAUAUAAAUUUAUCUUGAUUAUCUUAAAAUGUGAGAGCAAAUAAUGUUUUCUUAUGUAUUUAAAAUCAAUAUUUUAAUUAUUGUUGCAGAGAAUAAUUAAAGUCUAAAAUGCAAUUAUGUUCUUAUGAAUAACAUAUUUUAUUGUAUUUUCUACAUAACUUUUUUUUAUAUACAAUUUCUAGUUUUAUAUUAUUUUUGUAUUAUAGUUUUCGUGGCUUACUUGUACAUAUGUAAAUAAAUUAUUUAUAUGUAA